rnacentral:tRNA from 1 species
GGGUGCGUAGUAUACUGGUAAUAUAAGCGGCUCCAGCCCGCUAGAAGGGAGUUCGAUUCUCUCCGCGCCCA